rnacentral:lncRNA from 1 species
AGGAAUUGCUCAGACGGAGAAGUUAUUUAUAGGAGGAGAUUUAAAUGGACACGUGGGCAGGGAGACAGGCAACUAUGGAGGUUUUCAUGGUGGCCAUGGUUUUGGGGAGAGAAACGAGGAUGGGGAAGCUAUCUUGGAUUUUGCAAUGGCAUAUGAUCUCUUCUUAGCUAACACCUUCUUUAAGAAGAGAGAAGAACAUGUGAUCACCUACAAGAGUGGGUCGUCAAAAACACAAAUAGAUUUUCUUCUAAUGAGGAAAGGGGAUUGUAUAACUUGUAAGGAUUGCAAAGUUAUACCAGGAGAGAGCGUGGCUAAUCAACAUCGCUUGUUGGUGAUGGAUGUACAUAUCAAAAGAGUGAGACAAAAGAACAAGACUUGGAACUGCCCAAGGACUAGAUGGUGGAAUCUAAAAGAAGAAAAACAAGCCAUUUUCAAAGAGAAGGUAAUCACCCAAUGUGUGUGGGAUAGAGAGGGGGAAGCUAGCCAAAUGUGGGAUUCCAUGGCUAGUUGUAUCCGAAAAGUAGCAAAAGAGGUAUUAGGAGAGUCCAAGGGCUUUGCCCCACACCAAAAGGAAUCUUGGUGGUGGAAUGAGGAGGUACAAACAAAGGUGAAGGCUAAGAAGGAAUGUUGUAAAGCCUUAUACAAGGAGAGGACCGAUGAAAAUGGUGAAAGAUAUAGAAAAGCGAAGCAAGAGGCGAAGAAAGCUGUCAGAGAAGCUAAGUUAGCGGCUUACGACGAUAUGUAUAAACGACUAGAUACCAAAGAAGAAGAGUUGGAUAUCUAUAAACUAGCUAGAGCAAGGGAAAAGAAGACAAGAGACCUAAACCAAGUGAGGUGCAUCAAGGAUGAGGAUGGAAAGGUUCUUGCUACAGAGAACGCGGUUAAAGACAGAUGGAGAGGUUAUUUUCAUAAUCUUUUCAAUGAAGGACAUGAAAGGAGUGCUUCUUUAGGGGAGUUGAGUAACUCAGAAGAGUGUAGAAACUACUCUUUUUAUCGUCGAAUCCGGAAGGAAGAAGUGGUUGUAGCUUUGAAGAAGAUGAAGCAUAGAAAAGCAAUAGGCCCAGACGAUAUACCAAUCGAAGUGUGCAAAGUUUUGGGAGAGACAGGUACAACAUGGCUCACUGACCUUUUCAAUAGGAUUUUGAAAACGAAGAAGAUGCCAAAUGAGUGGCGAACGAGCACUUUGGUGCCUAUCUACAAGAAUAAGGGCGACGUACAAAAUUGCAUGAACUAUAGGGGUAUUAAGCUAAUGAGUCAUACAAUGAAGCUCUGGGGAGAAAGUCAUUGAGCAUAGAUUGAGGCAAGAGACACGGGUUUCGGACAACCAAUUCGGGUUCAGGCCAGGACGCUCAACCAUGGAGGCAAUCUAUCUCUUACGAAGAUUGAUGGAAAGAUAUAGAGAUGGGAAAAAGGAUUUACACAUGGUCUUUAUAGAUUUGGAAAAAGCGUAUGAUAGGGUCCCAAGAGACAUUCUUUGGAGGAUUUUAGAGAAGAAAGGAGUACGAGUAGCAUAUAUCCAAGCUAUAAAGGAUAUGUAUGAAGGAGCAAAGACUGCCGUAAGAACUCAUGAAGGACAAACCGAAAGCUUUCCCAUAACUGUAGGAUUACAUCAAGGCUCAUCCUUAAGUCCUUACCUUUUUGCGUUGAUAAUGGAUGAGUUAAUAGGACAUAUUCAAGAUGAUAUUCCUUGGUGUAUGCUUUUCGCAGACGAUAUAGUGUUGAUAGAUGAAACUCAGGAAGGGGUAAAUGCAAAGCUUAACCUUUGGAGAGAAGUGUUGGAAUCUAAAGGUCUUCGCCUAAGCCGAUCAAAGACAGAAUAUAUGGAGUGCAAGUUCAGUGCAAAUGGAGGCCAAAACGAGUUAGGGGUGAGGAUCGGAGAUCAAGAAAUACCAAAGAGCGAUCGUUUUCGUUACCUAGGAUCUAUCUUGCAAAAGAACGGAGAAUUAGAUGGAGAUCUCAACCAUAGAAUACAAGCUGGAUGGAUGAAGUGGAAGAGUGCAUCCGGCGUGUUGUGUGACCGCCGUAUGCCACUGAAGCUCAAGGGAAAAUUUUAUAGGACGGCAAUAAGGCCGGCGAUGCUGUAUGGCACAGAAUGUUGGGCGGUGAAGCAUCAACACGUACACAAAAUGGGUGUAGCGGAGAUGAGGAUGCUUCGUUGGAUGUGUGGGCACACGAAAAAGGAUAAGAUUAGGAAUGAGGAUAUCCGGGGUAAAGUAGGAGUAGCCGAAAUUGAAGGAAAGAUGAGAGAAAAUCGGUUACGGUGGUUUGGACAUGUGCAAAGAAGGCCUACUAACGCUCCGAUUAGAAGAUGCGACUAUGGGACAGAGGUUCAGGGCCGAAGGGGUAGAGGAAGACCUAGGAAAACUUUGGAAGAGACUCUAAGAAAAGACUUAGAGUACUUGGAUCUAACAAUGGAUAUGACACAAGACCGAGCACAAUGGCGUUCUAAGAUUCAUAUAGCCGAUCCCACUCAGUGACUUGGAUUUUCCAAGUCUCCAACCGAGAAGUUUUCCUCACUCGGGAAAUUAAGGGAACACUGCCCCAACCUACAUGCUCCACUCAGAAAGCUUCAACAUACAAGCUUCAACAAAAGAAAAUUCAAAGAACUUAGUGAAGAAGGCUUUGGUGUAUUUAACACAAUACGUUGAAAUGAAGGAAAGCUUAUUUAUUGAUAUCCCCGAUAAGCUACAAAUAUGUACAUAUACAUGAGUCAAAAUAAACAAACUAGAAGGAGCCUUCACAAAGGUUGCUUAGGAGAAGUCUCAGCAGUCGGUAGAGCCCCAGAAAGAGAAGGCACCGGAGGGGGAUCAUUCGGAGCCCCAGUACUGGACAGAACCCUAGAAGGAGGAGGCAUCAGAGGUUGAUCAUUUGGAGUUUCAUUACGCGGUACAGCCCCAGAAGACAAAGGCAAUAAAUGCCUUUGGAACAAACCCACAAAUCUCUGAUGAUCAAGUAAAACCUGACCAUCAGUUUCCUUCAUCUGGUCAAGCUUCCUCUUCAUGUUUGUAGCAUAGUCAUGUGCGAGCCGGUGCAACUGUUUAUUCUCAUGCUUGAGCCCUCUAAUCUCCUGUUUGAGACUCAUCACUUCAGCCGCUAAUGAUUCAACUUGGCGGGUUCGAGCAAAUAGGCGUUGGGCCAUAUUAGACACAGAACCUGCACACUGAACACUGAGAGCCAGCGAAUCCUUACCAGCUAACUCAUCAGACCGUUUGGAAAGUAGUCUGUUAUCUUUGGGAGUGAGAAGGUUCCUGGCCACCACCGCAGCGGUCAUAUCAUUCUUCAUCACGGAAUCCCCAACGGUAAGAGGACCAGUAGGGGAGACGAAGGAUGGGCGCCAUAUGUCGUCUGGAGAAGGCGGGGCUGCCUCUUUAACAAGGUUCAAGUCAAAACGACGUCAAAACGACGGUCAGAGGAGCCAGACAUUUUCAAAGGUGUUGAAGAGAGAAGAGGUCGGACAAAUCAAGAUCUUAGAAGUGGAAAAAUAAAGCUUCUACUGGUGGAGAUUCAAGUGUGCUUUGGAACUUAAUGCCAGCCCCUAUAAAAAUCUGCACUCGACGAAGCUUCAGAAAUCGAAGAGGCGCCUGCUCAGAAAUCGAAGAAGCGUUUGCUUUCUUAAAAGCUGGGCUGCUUAGAGAGGCGCUCGCUUUCUCAAAAGCUGGGCUCCUCAGAGAACAUGAGGGCCGAUCUCAGAAAUCGAAGAGGCACCUACUUUUCCAGCCUUGUCAGCACCUGUCACACGCACACUCAGCUUUGCGGAAAUUAUGGGCAUUCUGUCGAAGACUUCUGGGGAAGUAGAAAACACAUGAAUCUUACUGUUCAAUCACCCACUUCCCACACGCAACAAUAGCUCAUUGGUACCACAGAUAACUUUGCCAAAGUUCUCUACCAAUGUUGAGCACGUGAAGCUUGCAGCUCCCACUACAUCGCUCUGACCAAGAAGGGUAAAAGAAUAGCAAAGAAACAGCACUAACAAAGUUUAUACCCAUAAAUUUUGAAGGUCUAGCUACCAUAUUAUUACCCACAAGGGUAAAGGAACAGUACCACUGCUGGAUAAUUGGAAAGUCCCUGUGUGUCAACCUCUGUGCUUCGUGGCAAGGUAGACUAGCAAACAUGCCCAACCUUUACUCACAUUUGAGAAAACACUCCCAAUCAGAUUGCUUGCUCCAAAAUCGAAUAGGCACCGUCCUCCGAAUCUCGAGAGCCAGACUCCCAACAUGACUACUUUCUCAAAAAUCGAAGAGAGGGUAAAGGAAUAGUACCAUUGCUGGAUAAUUAGAAAGUCCCUGUGUGUCAACCUCUGUGCUUCGUGGCAAGGUAGACUAGCAAACAUGCCCAACCUUUACUCACAUUCGGGAAAACACUCCAAACAAGAUUGCUUGCUCCAAAAUCGAAAAGGCACCGCCCUCCGAAUCUCGAGAGCCAGACUCCCAACAUGAUUACUUUCUCAAAAAUCAAAGAGACACCGCUCCCCGAAUCUCGAGAGCCAGACCCCCAGCAUGAUUGCUUUCUCAAAAAUCAAAGAGGCAUCGUUUUCCGAAUCAAUCGAAGAGGCGCUCGCUUUCUCAAAAGCUGGGCUGCUCAGAGACCACGAGGGCCGAUCUCAGAAAUCGAAGAGGCCCUUACUUUUCUAGCCUUGUCAGCACCUGUCACAUGCACACUCAACUUUGCGGAAAUUAUGGGCAUUCUGUCGAAGACUUCUGGUGAAGUAGAAAGCACAUAAAUCUUACUGUUCAACCACCCACUUCCCACACGCAACAAUAGCUCAUGGGUACCACAGAUAACUUUGCCAAAGUUCUCUGCCAAAGUUGAGCACGUGAAGCUUGCAGCUCCCACUACAUCGCUGUAACCAAGAAAGGUAAAAGAAUAGCAAAGAAACAACACUAACAAAGUUUAGACACAUAAAUUUUGAAGGUCUAGCUACCAUAUUAUUACCCACAAGGGUAAAGGAACAGUACCAAUGCUGGAUAAUUGGAAAGUCCCUGUGUGUCAACCUAUGUGCUUCGUGGCAAGGUAGACUAGCAAACAUGCCCAACCUUUACUCACAUUCGAGAAAACACUCCCAACAAGAUUGCUUGCUCCAAAAUCGAAGAGGCACCGUCCUCCAAAUCUCGAGAGCCAGACUUCCAACAUGACUACUUUCUCAAAAUCGAAGAGAGGGUAAAGGAACAGUACCAUUGCUGGAUAAUUGGAAAGUCCAUGUGUGUCAACCUCUGUGCUUCGUGGCAAGGUAGACUAGCAAACAUGCCCAACCUUUACUCACAUUCGAAAAAACACUCCCUACAAGAUUGCUUGCUCCAAAAUCGAAGAGGCACCGCCUUCCGAAUCUCGAGAGCCAAACUCCCAACAUGAUUACUCUCUCAAAAAUCGAAGAGACACUGCUCUCCGAAUCUCGAGAGCCAGACCCCCAGCAUGAUUGCUUUCUUAAAAAUAGAAGAGGCAUCGUUCUCCGAAUCUCGAGAGCCAGAUACCACAGACCACUUUUUCAAAGUGCUCUGACAGAGUUAAAACAUGUGAAGCUGGUAGCUCCCACUACCGUGUUAUGACCAAGAAGGGUAAAGGAAUAGCAUUACUACUUGUUGUUAGGGAGACUCCUAUAUAUGUUGACCUCCAUCCCCAACGGACAGGCAGACCUGCAAAAAUGCUCAACCCUUCCUCAUAUCUGAGAGGGCACUCCCAACGAAGCCUUUCGAAAUAUUCAGCUUUCUUUCCCCCCGAUAAUACCUCUGCAAACAAGCUAUACUAGAGCAAGAAUAUCUCAUAUCAUCAGGGUUAAAAGCAAGAGUAUCCCAUAUCAUGCUUUUUCCCUGUCUUUUCAUUUGACCUUGUUCUUACCUGCAAGACAAGGAGAAAGAGAGCAAUCAGUGAGCACUUGGAAUCAAGCUUCCAGCCAGGAACUGACUGCCUGGAACCCCUUACCUGAUUACUUACCUGGCAUUGCUCUUGAGUACUCAUCUUCAACAUCUUAUGCUUCUAGGGAAGAUACCGCAUUUGCUUGAGGAACAGAUAGGGCAAGUGCGAAGGAUACAAGGAAGCAUGUGGAGACAAGCGUAACAGCACACGUGCCGAUACAUCCAUUACUCUGUCAAAAGCAAAAGUAUCCCAUAUCAGCAGGGUCGAACGUACUCUAGAUUUGAUGGACUUGUUUUGACCCUCAAAUUCUUCAGUCGGCCUUAUACUCUGGAGGAAACCAGAAAACCCUCCAGCUCAGUUCAAGAAUAAGCCUGUGGAAAGUUACUUCUUCAAAAGCAAAAAUAUCCCAUAUCAUCUCUUCUCAUUUUUCUUCUCUUUAUCCUUCAUGCUGCUGCAAGAUGGGGAGAAGGUGAACAAUCAGCCGGAGCUCUGAUUGCUUACCUUGUCUGUCACCUCUUUCAGCAGAUCCCCUAGCUCGACGACUUGGGAGACUCCUACUACAUGGUUUGUAUCGCGCUUGACCAAGCCUGAAACUACAAGUAAGCUUCAAGUGAAAUUGAUACAUUACCUUGUGCAUCUCCACCAGUUAAAGAUACCACCCCCUGGAUGGAGGAAGAGUACUUCCAGAGAAGAUGCCACAUCUACCUAUGAGACAGAUAAGGCAAGUCAAGACGAUACCACACUCCGAUACUUAGAAGUUUCGUGAUUACGAGAUCAUUCUCCCACAAUAUUUCCUAAUGUCAUUUGUGCUAAAUCAUUCACUUGUACUCACUAAAGGAGAGCUUGAACCUAUGUACUUGUGUAAACCCUUCACAAUUAAUGAGAACUCCUCUAUUCCGUGGAUGUAGCCAAUAUGGGUGAACCACGUACAUCUUGUGUUUGCUUUCCUAUCUCUAUCCAUUUAUAUACUUAUCCACACUAAUGACCGGAGCAAUCUAGCGAAGAUCAUAAAAAGCGACCGUUUUCGCUACCUAGGAUCUAUCUUACAAGAGAACGGAGAAUUAGAAGGAGAUCUCAACCAUAGAAUACGAGCUGGAUGGAUGAAGUGUAAGAGUGCAUCCGGCGUGUGUGUGACCGUCGUAGGCCACUGAAGCUCAAGGGAAAAUUUUAUAGGACAGCAAUAAGGCCAGCGAUGUUGUAUGGCAUAGAAUGUUGGGCGGUGAAGCAUCAACACGUACACAAAAUGGGUGUAGCGGAGAGGAGGAUGCUUUUUGGGAUGUGUGGGCACACGAGAAAGGAUAAGAUUGGGAAUGAGGAUAUCCGAGGUAAAGUAGGAGUAGCCGAAAUUGAAGGAAAUAUGAGAGAAAAUCGGUUCUGGUGAUUUGGGCAUGUGCAAAGAAGGCCUACUGACGCUCCGGUUCGAAGAUGUGACUACGGAAAAGAGGUUCAGGGCCGAAGGGGUAGAGGAAGACCUAGGAAAACUUUGGAAGAGACUCUAAGAAAAGACUUAGAGUACUUGGAUCUAACGGAGGACAUGACACAAAACCGAGCGCAAUGGCGUUCUAGGAUUCAUAUAGCCGACCCCACUUAGUGGGAAAAGGCUUUGUUGUUGUUGUUGUUUGUUGGGUAGGAUGCUAUCAAAACUGCUUUGUUGCUUGGGGCUAUAGACUGAAAUUGGAGGUAUUGCUAUCUCUGGAAGGUAAGGAACAGCGAAGACAGUAAUGGCACGUGGGUUGCAUGCUAUUUUACCACCCAUUGAAGUAGUCAUUGGUUCAAUGGCAAAUGCUGAUCCCGCCUGUCCUGAAGAGUAAGGAUACUGAAAGCUUACAGGUUAUUUUGUGAUUAACAUAGAUAGAGGGGGUAACUCCCUGUUGAUGGCAUGAUUCCCUUGGUUUUCUUGACUAAAGCAAAAUGAAUUUUUGCUAAUGCAGUUUGCAAACUUUUUGGUACAUGACAAGUUAUGGAACUUUUUUUUGGAAUGUUUGAUACAAUUGAUAUGAUUUGAGCCAGAAACACAUCAAUGGAACACAUUUACAACUUGCAAUUUUUUUUUCUUUCAUGAUGCUUAGAUCCGUUUAGUCCAUUUCUUGUCACAAUGUCUUUACGAUGACCCAUACCCUUCUUUCCUGUAACCAUCCUCAUCCAGUCAGUACCAUGCGCAGUUUUGACGGAAAUAGUGGGUAGUGGCUGUUGAUUUGAAGCUUAAAUAUUUACUUCUCUUUUAAUGCCCUAGAAAUUCCAAUGCAAGUACUUUUGAUCAGAUGUUCUAUUUUCACUAUCCAGUUGAUUUUGUGCAAGUCUCUUUCAAUGAUAAGGGUUUGGUUGUAAUUCUUAAGGGUGGGAAAGUACUUUACCUGACUGCAUUGAGUUUGAUUCUGCUGGUAAUAUCAAGACUCAGAUUGUCCGGUCUCCUUUUGUUCAGGUACUUUUCAUGGAAAGAUCUUUUCAUAUUCAUAUGAUUUUCGUUUAUGUAGAUACCCUACUUUCACAUUGUAUAUUCCACUUGGAGUCACAGAGGACAGACUUAUUGGUUCUGUUGAUGUUGAAGAGUCUGUGAAGACAGGAAUCACUGUUUUCCAGCCAGGCCUUCUCGCUGAAGCUCAUUGAGGUGUAUUAUACGUUGAUGAAAUUAAUCUUUUGGAUGAGGGUAUAAGUAAUUUGCUUCUUAACGUACUAACUGAAGGAGUUAAUAUCGUGGAAAGGGAGGGAAUCAGCUUUAGACACCCAUGCAAGACUCUCUUGAUUGCUACUUAUAACCCAGAAGAGGGAGCUGUUCGUGAACACUUACUAGAUCGCAUUGCAAUUAAUUUGAGGUACAGAUUUUGUAUUUACCUAGUGAAACAAGUUCUCUCUUUUUUAUAAGCUUCUCAUUCUACUAAUGAUGCACACUUCUUUUGCAGUGCAGAUUUUGAAAUGGGUUUCGAUGAUCGUGUUGCAGCUGUGGCAAUUGCAACACAAUUUCAGGAGCACAGUUCUGAAGUCUUUAAAAUGGUUGAAGAAGAAACAGAAUAUGUGAAAACUCAGGUACAAAGGCAGGAAAAAGUUAGUGGUUUCUUUUGCAUGCUAGAUUGUUAUUCUCAUGAGAUAGAGAGACAUUGGGUGUAUUGACAUUACUAUCAUAUACUCAUAGUAUAGAAGAAUGUCACUGAGAUUUAAACAUCAUUUAUUUGCACCCUACAUGAUUGAUAAGUUUUAUUUAUUUGAGAAAUGAAAAGGAUGUUGUAAAAAGGAGGCAAGAAACUAUGUUGAUGAAACUGGAUUACCAACUUUACUCUUUAGAUAUGUUCAAGGACAUUUGGUAUAGUUACAUAGAAGCAUGUGCACCCAUAACUUGUGGGCAAUAGAUUUUUUUCAUUGAAUAUAUCAUGAUAUAUGUGAUAGUUGUUCUUGCGGAACUUUGUGAUGUUGGGAGAUGAAAUUUGAUUGAUUUUUUACAUUUUAUUUACGUGUUGCAGAUCAUUUUAGCAAGAGAGUAUCUAAAGGAUGUCACUAUAAGCAGAGAACUAGUAAAGUACCUGGUUUUGGAAGCUCUUCGAGGUGGUUGCCAGGUAUUUUCUGUGGAACUCCUCAUUAAGAUCGGAAAGAUUUUGCCUGAGUUUUUCUCUCCUCUCAGGUUAACCAAUAUCAGGUGAAACCAUGGAUUAUGCUUCCAUUGCAUUGACACUUGAGCUUCCAACUGAAUUGAAGAUUUAUAGUGUACUAAGGCGCUCCCUGCCCCUCAUUGCAGCCCUGAACCUAAACUACCUGGGACUAGAUUAACAUUUAGCAUUGGCUAUGCAGUAGUGAAUUGUGAACUAUGAUCGUUAGCUUUUUAGAAGAUAGAGUUUUCAUAUGAAUUUCUUUACCUAUUUUUGCAUAAUCUCCCAACUUUACUUUUACUUUUGCAUGCACUCUGUUGGAUGAAUGCAGCCAAAAACUAGAAGAAAACAGUAGGUUUUUUAAUUUUUAAUUUUUUUUAAUUUUUAAAAUUAAAAAUUAAAAAUUAUUAUUAUUAUUAUUAUUAUUAUUAUUAUUUUUAUGCGUAAUGCAUGAGGGUAUGCCAUAGACAUUAAAUGCCAGUUUGAAGGACUAUUGCGGGAAGCUUUUUCGUUAUGCCUUUGUGGAUUUUUCUGGUUCGCAUGUUCUUAGCUUGAGUUCAGUUUUGUUAACUUGGAUCCCCACAUUAAUGUGCUUCUUUCACUCAAAUGCUUUUUGGAGUCUGGGAUCAAUUAUUAUGUCCUUGUUGAUGUCCUAUUAGUGCCCAUAUUUGGCAAUGGCAUUUAAGAAACCUGUUAGGCUCAGGAUUUUUAGGGCGCAAACUUGAAACUUGUCUGAAUAGUUGCAGUGAUAAAUUGUAUCGCCGAAUACAUAAUGCAUUUAUGUGAGAUCUGUAACAAUCGAGAGUAAAACUAAAAACCAAUGUUGAUUCUUACAACUUGGGAAACAUAAUGGCAACAGAAUUUGGUUUCCAUGAUAUUUAUUGCCCUAGGCCACCAUGAUAUUUAUUGCCCUAGGGCGUCACCCGUAAGUGGCGCGCUGUGUGGCCUGAGCACAGUGAUAAGUGAGCAAGGGUCGUUGUAUCUCCAUCGGCACCCGGAUGCAGUGUUAAAUGAGCAAGGGGGCUAUAGAAACUUCUUUUCGAACGACUCCACUCAAAGUUGUUUGGGAGCAUAUGCUCCUAUCAACUUUACACGGGACACACAAAAGAAGUACUUUGAUCCUAUUAGACGGGGAAGGGUGAAGAAGCUAGGACAGAAGGGUAGAGUUCAAGAGAGCAAAAUGCGUUUAGGAACGUGGAAUAUAGGAACCUUGACGGGAAAAUCUAUGGAAGUAGUAGAAGUUAUGGUGAGGAGAAGGAUAAAUAUUAUGUGCCUACAAGAAACUAAGUGGGUUGGUCGUAAGGCAAAGGAUCUAGAAAACUCAGGGUUUAAACUAUGGUAUUCGGGCACAAAUAGAACGAGAAACGGUGUUGGCAUCAUCGUGGACAAGACCUUGACACAAGAUGUUGUAGAUGUCAAGAGGGUAGGAGAUAGAAUCAUGGCAAUCAAGAUUGUAAUAAGACAAGAACUUAUCAAUGUGAUUAGUGCGUACGCACCUCAAGUAGGGUUGGAUACGAGUUCGAAGGAGAAAUUUUGGGAAGACCUUGGAGACUUGGUGCAAGGAAUUGCUCAGAUAGAGAUGUUAUUUAUAGGAGGAGAUUUAAAUGGACACGUGGGCAGGGAGACAGGCAACUAUGGAGGUUUUCAUGGUGGCCAUGGUUUUGGGGAGAGAAACGAGGAUGGGGAAGCUAUCUUAGAUUUUGCAAUGGCAUAUGAUCUCGUCUUAGCCAACACCUUCUUUAAGAAGAGAGAAGAACAUGUGAUCACCUACAAGAGUGGGUCGUCAAAAACACAAAUAGAUUUUCUUCUAAUGAGGAAAGGGGAUCGUAUAACUUGUAAGGAUUGCAAAGUUAUACCAGGAGAGAGCGUGGCUAAUCAACAUCGCUUGUUGGUGAUGGAUGUACAUAUCAAAAGAGUGAGAAAAAAGAACAAGACUUGGAAGUGCCCAAGGACUAGAUGGUGGAAUCUAAAAGAAGAAAAACAAGCCAUUUUCAAAGAGAAAGUAAUCACCCAGUGUGUGUGGGAUAGAGAGGGGGAAGCUAACCAAAUGUGGGAUUCCAUGGCUAGUUGUAUCCGAAAAGUAGCAAAAGAGGUAUUAGGAGAGUCCAAGGGCUUUGCCCCACACCAAAAGGAAUCUUGGUGGUGGAAUAAGGAGGUACAAGCAAAGGUGAAGGCUAAGAAGGAAUGUUGUAAAGCCUUAUACAAGGAUAGGACCGAUGAAAAUGGUGAAAGGUAUAGAAAAGCGAAGCAAGAGGCGAAGAAAGCUGUGAGAGAAGCUAAGUUAGCGGCUUAUGACGAUAUGUAUAAGCGACUAGAUACCAAAGAAAGAGAGUUGGAUAUCUAUAAACUAGCUAGAGCAAGGGACAAGAAGACAAGGGACCUAAACCAAGUGAGAUGCAUCAAGGAUGAGGAUGGAAAGGUUCUUGCUACAGAGAACGCGGUUAAAGACAGAUGGAAAGGUUAUUUUCAUAAUCUUUUCAAUGAAGGACAUGAAAGGAGUGCUUCUUUAGGGGAGUUGAGUAACUCAGAAGAGUGUAGAAACUACUCUUUUUAUCGUAGAAUCCGGAAGGAAGAAGUGGGUGUAGCUUUGAAGAAGAUGAAGCAUAGAAAAGCAGUAGGCCCAGACGAUAUACCAAUCGAAGUGUGGAAAGUUUUAGGAGAGACAUAUAUAACAUGGCUCACUAACCUUUUCAAUAGGAUUUUGAAAACGAAGAAGAUGCCGAAUGAGUGGCGAAUGAGCACUUUGGUGCCUAUCUACAAGAAUAAGGGCGAUGUACAAAAUUGCAUGAACUAUAGGGGUAUUAAGCUAAUGAGUCAUACAAUGAAGCUCUGGGAGAGAGUCAUUGAGCAUAGAUUGAGGCAAGAGACACGGGUUUCGGACAACCAAUUCGGGUUCAUGCCAGGGCGCUCAACCAUGGAGGCAAUCUAUCUCUUACGAAGAUUGAUGGAAAGAUAUAGAGAUGGGAAAAAGGAUUUACACAUGGUCUUUAUAGAUUUGGAAAAAGCGUAUGAUAGGGUCCCAAGAGACAUUCUUUGGAGGAUUUUAGAGAAGAAAGGAGUACGAGUAGCAUAUAUCCAAGCUAUACAGGAUAUGUAUGAAGGAGCAAAGACUGCCGUAAGAACUCAUGAAGGACAAACCGAAAGCUUUCCCAUAACUGUAGGAUUACAUCAAGGCUCAUCCUUAAGUCCUUACCUUUUUGCGUUGGUAAUGGAUGAGUUAACAGGACAUAUUCAAGGUGAUAUUCCUUGGUGUAUGCUUUUCGCAGACGAUAUAGUGUUGAUAGAUGAAACUCAGGAAGGGGUAAAUGCAAAGCUUAACCUUUGGAGAGAAGUGUUGGAAUCUAAAGGUCUUCGCCUAAGCCGAUCAAAGACAGAAUAUAUGGAGUGCAAGUUCAGUGCAAAUGGAGGCCAAAACGAGUUAGGGGUGAGGAUCGGAGAUCAAGAAAUACCAAAGAGCGACCGUUUUCGUUACCUAGGAUCUAUCUUGCAAAAGAACGGAGAAUUAGAUGGAGAUCUCAACCAUAGAAUACAAGCUGGAUGGAUGAAGUGGAAGAGUGCAUCCGGCGUGUUGUGUGACCGCCGUAUGCCACUGAAGCUCAAGGAAAAAUUUUAUAGGACGGCAAUAAGGCCGGCGAUGCUGUAUGGCACAGAAUGUUGGGCGGUGAAGCAUCAACACGUACACAAAAUGGGUGUAGCGGAGAUGAGGAUGCUUCGUUGGAUGUGUGGGCACACGAGAAAGGAUAAGAUUAGGAAUGAGGAUAUCCGGGGUAAAGUAGGAGUAGCCGAAAUUGAAGGAAAGAUGAGAGAAAAUCGGUUACGGUGGUUUGGACAUGUGCAAAGAAGGCCUACUGACGCUCCGAUUAGAAGAUGCGACUAUGGGACAGAGGUUCAGGGUCGAAGGGGCAGAGGAAGACCUAGGAAAACUUUGGAAGAGACCCUAAGAAAAGACUUACAGUACUUGGAUCUAACGGAGGACAUGACACAGGACAGAACACAAUGGCGUUCUAAGAUUCAUAUAGCCGAUCCCACUCAGUGACUUGGAUUUUCCAAGUCUCCAACCAAGAAGUUUUCCUCACUCGGGAAAUUAAGGGAACACUACCUCAACCUAUAUGCUCCACUCACAAAGCUUCAACAUACAAGCUUCAACAAAAGAAAAUUCAAAGAACUUAGCGAAGAAGGCUUUGGUGUAUUUAACACAAUACGUUGAAAUGAAGGAAAGCUUAUUUAUUGAUAUCCCCGAUAAGUUACAAAUAUGUACAUAUACUUGAGUCAAAAUAAACAAACAAGAGGGAGCCUUCACAAAGGUUGCUUAGGAGAAGUCUCAGCAGGCGGUAGAGCCCCAGAAAGAGAAGGCACCGGAGGGGGAUCAUUCGGAGCCUCAGUACUGGACAAAACCCUAGAAGGAUGAGGCAUCAGAGGUUGAUCAUUUGGAGCUUCAUUACGCGGUACAGCCCCAGAAGACGAAGGCAAUAAAUGCCUUUGGAACAAACCCACAAAUCUCUGAUGAUCAAGUAAAACCUGACCAUCAGAUUCCUUCAUCUGGUCAAGCUUCCUCUUCAUGUUUGUAGCAUAGUCAUGUGCGAGCCGGUGCAACUGUUUAUUUCUCAUGCUUGAGCCCUCUAAUCUCCUGUUUGAGACUCAUCACUUCAGCCGCCAAUGAUUCAACUUGGCGGGUUCGAGCAAAUAGGCGUUGGGCCAUAUUAGACACAGAACCUGCACACUGAACACUGAGAGCCAGAGAAUCCUUAACAGCCAACUCAUCAGACCGUUUGGAAAGUAGUCUGUUAUCUUUGGGAGUGAGAAGGUUCCUGGCCACUACCGCAGCGGUCAUAUCAUUCUUCAUCACGGAAUCCCCAACGGUAAGAUGACCAGUAGGGGAGACGAAGGAUGGGCGCCAUAUGUUGUCUGGAGAAGGCGGGGCUGCCUCUUCAACAAGGUUCAAGUCAAAACGACGGUCGGAGGGGCCAGACAUUUUCAAAGGUGUUGAAGAGAGAAGAGGUCGGACAAAUCAAGAUAUUAGAAGUGCAAGAAUGGAGCUUCUACUGGUGGAUAUUCAAGUGUGCUUUGGAACUUAAUGUCAGCCCCUAUAAAAAUCUGAACUCGACGAAGCUUCAGAAAUCGAAGAGGCGCCUACUCAGAAAUCGAAGAGGCGUUUGCUUUCUCAAAAGCUGGGCUGCUCAGAGACCACGAGGGUCGAUCUCAGAAAUCGAAGAGGCGUUUGCUUUCUCAAAAGCUGGGCUGCUCAAAGACCACGAAGGCCGAUCUCAGAAAUCGAAGAGGCUUGCUUUCUCAAAAGCUGGGAUGCUCAGAGACCACGAGGGCCGAUCUCAGAAAUCGAAGAGGCACCUACUUUUCCAGCCUUGUCAGCACCUGUCACACGCACACUCAGCUUUGCGGAAAUUAUGGGCAUUCUGUCGAAGAUUUCUGACGAAGUAGAAAGCACAUGAAUCGUACUGUUCAAUCACCCACUUCCCACACGCAACAGUAGCUCAUGGGUACCACAGAUAACUUUGCCAAAGUUCUCUGACAAAGUUGAGACACGUGAAGCUUGCAGCUCCCACUACAUCGCUCUGACCAAGAAGGGUAAAAGAAUUGCAAAGAAACAACACUAACAAAGUUUAAACACAUAAAUUUUGAAGGUCUAGCUACCAUAUUAUUACCCACAAGGGUAAAGCAACAGUACCACUGCUGGAUAAUUGGAAAGUCCCGGUGUGUCAACCUCUGUGCUUCGUGGCAAGGUAGACUAGCAAACAUGCCCAACCUGUACUCACAUUCGAGAAAACACUCCCAACAAGAUUGCUUGCUCCAAAAUCGAAGAGGCACCGCCCUCCGAAUCUCGAGAGCCAGACUCCCAACAUGAUUACUUUCUCAAUAAUCGAAGAGAGGGUAAAGGAACAGUACCACUGCUGGAUAAUUGGAAAGUCCAUGUGUGUCAACCUUUGUGCUUCGUGGCAAGGUAGACUAGCAAACAUGCCCAACCUUUACUCACAUUCGAGAAAACACUCCCAACAAGAUUGCUUGAUCCAAAAUCGAAGAGGCACCGCCCUCCGAAUCUCGAGAGCCAGACUCCCAACAUGAUUACUUUCUCAAAAAUCGAAGAGAGGGUAAAGGAACAGUACCACUGCUGGAUAAUUGGAAAGUCCCUGUGUGUCAACCUCUGUGCUUCGUGGCAAGGUAGACUAGCAAACACGUCCAAUCUUUACUCACAUUCGAGAAAACACUCCCAACAAGAUUGCUUGCUCUAAAAUCGAAGAGGCACCGCCUUCCGAAUCUCGAGAGCCAGACUUCCAACAUGAUUACUUUCUCAAAAAUUGAAGAGACACCGCUCUCCGAAUCUCGAGAGCCAGACUCCCAGCAGGAUUGCUUUCUCAAAAAUCGAAGAGGCAUCGUUCUCCGAAUCUCGAGAGCCAGAUCCCCGACAGGAUUGCUUGUUCGAAAAUCGAAGAGGCACCAUUUUCCCAACUUCAAGAGCUGGAUCUCCUUGGAUAAAGCUUGUCUGUAAUCUUCACACGCAACAUCAGCUUUCCAGAUACCACAAACCACUUUUUCAAAGUGCUCUGACAAGGUUAAAACAUGUGAAGCUGGCAGCUCCCACUACCGUGCUAUAACCAAGCAGGGUAAAGGAAUAGCAUUAUUACUUGAUGUUAGGGAGACUCCUAUAUAUGUCGACCUCCAUCCCUAACGGACAGGCAGACCUGCAAAAAUGCUCAACCCUUUCUCUUAUCUGAGAGGGCACUCCUAACGAAGCCUUUCGAAAUAUUCAGCUUUCUUUCCCCCCGAUAAUACCUCUGUAAACAAGCUAUACUAGAGCAAGAAUAUCUCAUAUCAUCAGGGUUAAAAGCAAGAGUAUCCCAUAUCAUGCUUUUUCCCUGUCUUUUCCUUUGGCCUUGUUCUUACCUGCAAGACAAGGAGAAAGAGAGCAAUCAGUCAGCACUUGGAAUCAAGCUUCCAGCCAGGAACUGACUGCCUGGAACCCCUUACCUGAUUACAUACCUGGCAUUGCUCUCGAGUACUCAUCUUCAACAUCUUAUGCUUCCAGGGAAGAUACCGCAUCUGCCUAAGGAACAAAUAGGGCAAGUGAAAAGGAUACAAGGAAGCAUGUGGAGACAAGCGUAACAGCACACGUGCCGAUACAUCCACUACUCUGUCAAAAGCAAAAGUAUCCCAUAUCAGCAGGGUCGAACGUACUCUAGAUUUGAUGGACUUGUUUUGACCCUCAAAUUCUUCAGUCGGCCUUAUACUCUGGAGGAAACCAGAAAACCCUCCAGCCCAGUUCAAGAAUAAGCCUGUGGAAAGUUACUUCUUCAAAAGCAAAAGUAUCACAUAUCAUCUCUCCUCAUUUUUCUUCUCUUUAUCCUUUAUGCUGGCUGCAAGAUAGGGAGAAUGUGAACAAUCAGCCGGAGCUCUGAUUGCUUACCUUGUCUGUCACCUCUUUCAGCAGAUCCCCUAGCUCGGCGACUUGGGGGACUCCUACUACAUGGUUUGUAUCGUGCUUGACCAAGCAUGAAACUACAAGUAAGCUUCAAGUGAAAUUGAUACAUUACCUUGUGCAUCUCCACCAGUUACAGAUACCACCCCUGGAUGGAGGAAGAGUACUUCCAGAGAAGAUGCCACAUCUACCUAUGAGACAGAUAAGGCAAGUCAAGACGAUACCACACUCCGGUACUUAGAAGUUUCGUGGCUACGAGAUCAUUCUCCCACAAUAUUUCCUAAUGUCAUUUGUACUAAAUCAUUCACUUGUACUCAUUAAAGGAGAGCUUGAACCUAUGUACUUGUGUAAACCCUUCACAAUUAAUGAGAACUCCUCUAUUCCGUUGACGUAGCCAAUCUGGGUGAACCACGUACAUCUUGUGUUUGCUUUUGUGUAAACCCUUCACAAUUAAUGAGAACUCCUCUAUUCCGUGGACGUAGCCAAUCUGGGUGAACCACGUACAUCUUGUGUUUGCUUUCCUAUCUCUAUCCAUUUAUAUACUUAUCCACACUAAUGACCGGAGCAAUCUAGCGAAGAUCACAAAAAGUGACCGUUUUCGCUACCUAGGAUCUAUCUUGCAAGAGAACGGAGAAUUAGAUGGAGAUCUCAACCAUAGAAUACAAGCUGGAUGGAUGAAGUGUAAGAGUGCAUCCGGCGUGUUGUGUGACCGUCGUAGGCCACUGAAAUUCAAGGAAAAAUUUUAUAGGACGGCAAUAAGGCCAGCGAUGUUGUAUGGCACAGAAUGUUGGGCAGUAAAGCAUCAACGUACACAAAAUGGGUGUAGCGGAGAUGAGGAUGCUUCGUGGGAUGUAUGGGCACACGAGAAAGGAUAAGAUUGGGAAUGAGGUUAUCCGAGGUAAAGUAGGAGUAGCCAAAAUUGAAGGAAAUAUGAGAGAAAAUCGGUUCCGGUGGUUUGGACAUGUGCAAAGAAGGCCUACUGACGCUCCGGUUCGAAAAUGUGACUACGGGACAGAGGUUCAAGGCCGAAGGGGUAGAGGAAGACCUAGGAAAACUUUGGAAGAGACCCUAAGAAAAGACUUGAGUACUUGGAUCUAACGGAGGACAUGACACAAAACCGAGCGCAAUGGCGUUCUAGGAUUCAUAUAGCCGACCCCACUUAGUGGGAAAAGGCUUUGUUGUUGUUGUUGUUGGACUUAAGGAGUAAAGAAAUUUUUUAUUCCUAAAUCUUAAUUUGACCAACUCUUAAUAUUUGUUUCUUUUCUUAUGCUUCUGAUUUUAACAUGUUAUCUUUUUGCCAUAACUGGGCCAGAAAUUAACCUUCAAAUUUCCUUGUGAAAUUUCAGGGGCAUAGAGCUGAGUUAUAUGCUGCUCGUGUUGCAAAAAGCUUAGCUGCGCUAGAUGGACGAGAAAAAGUUAAUGUUGAUGACCUCAAAAAAGCUGUUAAGUAUAUUUCUCUCUUAUAAAAACAGGAACAUAAAGUUAUUAUCUUCUGAAGGGCUAUGCAAAUCUUUGCCUGAAUACACGCAUGCACUAGUAUUUUUGCAUGUUGCAAAAUAUUGUUAUUCAAAACAAAUCUUUGUCUGCAUAAGCACAGGCACUUGUAAUCUUAAAUCAUUUUUGUUUCAUGACCAUGCUAACCCUAUGUACUACUGCUUAUUAUGUUAUGAGUAGAGAUGCAUAUAACUGUGAUAAAAAGGAGCAAAUCAUCCACAAUUCUCUUUGAACCAUAUGAUUUUCCCAUAAAAACAGCAGGAGUUGAAGUUGCUAUGAUUUUGUGGAGAACAGUAAGGUUUGGUAUUGCUGUGCUGUGAGAAUAAGCUCAUUUUUGCUGCUUCACGUUUUCAGCUUUUUUUCACCCAAAACUGUGAAAAUAAGCUGUUUUUAAGUGUUUACCAAACACCUUUUUGAGCUCAGCUUUUUUUUUAUACCCACUUUUUAUAAAAGCACCUCAUUACCAAACCAGUACUAAGAAUGGUGAAGAAAAGUAGCAGUUGUUCAUUGUAACUUGAUUUGUUCAUUAUUUUUCGUGAAUUAGCAGCCAACUUAAAUAAUGAAAGGACUUUUGCACUUUGCAUUGUAAUAGUUUUAUCAUUCAUCAGUACUUACAUCAUGAUAUUUUUCAAUUUGCCGGAAUAUACCCUGAAUUUUAGUUCUGAGGUGGUACCUACUUCAGGUAGAACUGGUCAUUCUUCCUUGUUCAAUCAUCAAUGAGAACCCACCAGAACAGAAAAAUCAGCAGCCUCCACCUCCACCACCUCCUCCACAAAAUGAACAAUCUGGGGAGGAGCAAAAUGCAGAGGAAGAAAAAGAGGUUCGUUAACAUUGAUUAAAAUUUAAUCUUCACAUAGAAAUCAGUGCGGAGGGAUUUCUUUGUUUACAGAGGGAAAAACAUCACAUGUUUAACUAUUCUGCGAACUUCCCGAUGUAACCAGGAUGAAAAUGAUGAAGAAAAUGACGAAGAAAAUGAUGAAGAGAAUGAACAAGAGCAGGGCCAAAUACCUGAAGAGUUUAUCUUUGAUGCAGAAGGGGGUUUGGUGGAUGAGAAGCUUCUCUUUUUUGCACAACAGGCACAGAGACGCAAAGGGAAGGCUGGGAGAGCAAAGAAUGUGAUAUUUUCAGAAGAUAGAGGUCGAUAUAUUAAGCCAAUGCUACCAAAGGUUUAAUCACCCCAUCUUGUAGACUUUCAGAAGUUUUAAAAAAUUAUGUCUGCUUUUUAAAAAUGGGUGGUUGACUUUUCUGAACAAGCUUUGUUUUUAACAGGGCCCGAUAAGGAGAUUAGCUGUUGAUGCAACUCUUAGAGCUGCUGCACCAUAUCAAAAGUUGCGUAGGGAAAAGAAAACUCAAAGCAGUAGGAAAGUUUUUGUUGAAAGAUCUGAUAUGAGGGCGAAGAGAAUGGCACGAAAAGCAGGAGCACUGGUAUUAACACCCUAGUUUAAUUACAUGCAUUCAUUCUCGCCGUCAUGGGUGGCUGAUGAUGCAAAAGUGCUCUCACUAUUUUUCAUAUAAGAAUUUUUUAGCCCCAGUUGUGACAUAGGUUGCCAUACUCAUGGUCCAUAUAAUUUUUUUUUUUUAAGAAGAAACAAUUUUAUUAAAGAAUAGAGAAAUACACAGAAGUGGAUAAGAAGUCCACCAACUAUAUUAAAAAGGAAAAUCCCAAUAGGAUUUGGCUACAACAGCCAAUUCUAGACCUAACUCACUUAACUGCUGCUAACAAAUCCCACAGUAUUUGAGAUAGAGAGCAAUUAUUAAACUCUUUAUUUAGUGACCGAAGCCCAAAAAGCUGCCCAAUAUUUUACUUAGGGGUGGGCACUUAGAACCGAAAACCGAAACCGAAAUACGAACCAAAUCGAACCGCACUGAUCGGUUUGGUUUUGCGGUUUUGAAACAGUUUUGGUUUUGAAAUCAAACCGCAACAUAGAAAAUGGUUUGGUUUUGGUUUUGGCUUUUGAAAACCGCACCGAAACCGAACCGCACCGCAAAUAUUAAUAAACAUUUAAUUAAAUGUCCAUAUUAUAUUUCAUGUUUUAAUUGGUUGUUUGUUAGAAUCCAUACACUUAGUAAGGGGCUCAACCACACUAGAAUAUCAUCAUUCAUCACCUUCUUUCAUUCAUUAACUUGAUGGACCUUUGUUAUUUUAUACCAUCACACACACAUAUAUGUACAAGGGUGGACUAAUCUUGUUAUCAAGAGUCGAAUAAUGAUCUAAUGAAGUCCACUCAUUUGAAGCAUGAUAUCACAUAUUCUAGUAUCAAAGUUUUGCUCAUGUUUAAUGAAUUCAAAUUUAUUCAACUAGUUUUAUGAUAAACAGUGUAAGGCACACCCUUUUUGGUGCACAAACAUGUUUUAACAUCACAACUGCAUGCAACAUGCUAAUUGUUUACAUAACAAAUUUCUUUUUCCUAUUGCUAUUGGGAAAUGUUUAUUAAUAUGUUAAAUUGCAAAUUGUACAUUUUUUCUUAAAAACCAAACCGAAACCGUUUGAAACCGCACCAAACCGAACCAAACGGUUUGGUUUCAUUUCUGUUUUGGGUUCAAAACCACACCAAACUGAACCGCAAAAAAUUUCGGUUUCGAUUUUGAUUUCACUCAAAACCGCACCGAACCAAACCGUGCCCACUCCUAAUUUUACUCUCCCCCAAAGUACUUCUACCCCCACUCCAGUAUAGUCUUCAAAAUUCCUUUUGUUGCAUUCCAGCCAUAUAUUCCAAAAAAUUGCCGAUACCAGGCAACCCCACAAAACUUUGGAUUUUUUCCCUUUUCCAAGUGCCUUAAAAUUUGUGCCUAGUAGCUCGAAACACCCUUUAGGAAUGACCCAACUUACUUUAACCUCCUGAAACAGUUUCCACCACAGUUGGAUCGAGUAGGAGCAAUGAAGAAAGAUGUGAUUUACACUCUCCUCCUUAGCUUUGCACAAACUACACCAAUGUGGGGAUAAACACAUAAGACGGUUUCUCCUUUGAAUUAUGUCGCAAGUGUUGAGAUUCCCAUUGGCCACAAGCCAUACAAGUAUUUUAACCUUCGAAGGAGCUUUUGAUUUCCAAAUCUGAGAGUAGGGUGGAUAAUAGUGCACAAACCCAUUGUUGCUCAGUAAUGAACAAUAGGAUUUGCAUGUGAACAAACCUAAAGCUUCCAGAUUCCACCUUCUGUUAUCCAUUUUUGAUAGAGACAAGCGAACCUCUUCCACUUUCUGUAAUAAUGUGGCCGCCUCUUCUAUCUCCAACUCAUUCAGAUUUCUCCUAAAGUCAAAGUUCCAACUCAAGGAAUUUGACGAAACUUCUGCGAAGCUCGAGAUGUUAUGACUGUGCUUCCUUGAUAGUAGGAAUAAUCUGGGGAAUUGCUCCUUCAGUGGUCCCCCUGCUAACCACCCAUCCUCCCAAAACCUCACCCUCUCUCCGUUGCCCACCUCAAACUUGCAACAUCUAAGAAACUGAUGAGAACCACUUGAAAUGUCUUUCCAUAGGCUACGACUUGAAACCCUUCUUGGAGGAAGUGCAUUCCAUCCAUUAACUUGUAGCCCAUACUUGCUUCUUAUCACCUUGUGCCAUAGAGACUGAGACUCCAUUGGGAAUCUCCACAACCACUUAGCCAAUAAUGCUUCUUUCUGAUUCCUCAAAUUCCCCACCCCUAGACCUCCUUCCUCCUUGUUUUUAGUAACUAACUCCCAUUUGACCAAAUGGGUUUUCUUACCUUCCUCCACGCCUUCCCAGAGAAACCCCUUCAUUAAUUUUUCUAGACGUCCUCUUACCCCGCAAGGAAUUUUGAACAAGGACAUAUAGUAAAUCGGCAAGCUUCCCAAGACUGAUUGAAUUAGAGUUAAUUUACCUCCUCUAGAUAGGAAAGCCUUAUUCCAACUUUGAAGUCUUCUUUCCAUUGUUUCUACCACUAGAUCCCAAAACUUUAUUGCUCUUGGCCUGCCCCCAAGGGGAAGUCCCAGAUACUUUAUAGGCCAACAGCCUACCUCACAACCCUAAGAAACUGCUAUCCUAUUUAAUUUCUCACUCUAUAAAUUUAUUCCUGCCAAAAAGCACUUAGCUUUGUUGAUUUUCAAUCCUGAGACCGAAUAGAAUAAGUUGAGCACUUGUAAUAGGUUGUUCCAAACUUCCUCGUCUUCCGUCAAGAAGAAUAUGGUGUCGUCGGCAAAUUGAAGAUGAGAGAUCUCCACCUUUUCUUGCCCGAUACACAAACCUUUGAUGAGAUCAUUUUCUUGAGCCUUCUCUAUUAACCUACUCAAAACAUCGACUACUAAGGUGAAGAGAAAGGGUGACAGUGGGUCGCCUUGUCUCAGUCCUCUUGAAGCUUGAAAUUUUCCCCUUGGCCUCCCAUUGAUCAAAACAGAGAAAUUUGCAGAGCAUAAACAUCCUUGCAUCCAUUUCCUCCAUCUAUUGCCAAAACCUUUUCUUUGAAGUACUUCUUCCAGAAAUCUCCAUUCAACAUGAUCAUACGCCUUUUCAAAGUCGAUCUUGAGCACCAAUCCCUUCUCUUUUUUCUGCCUCACCUCUUCUACCACUUCAUUUGCAAUGAGGACAGCAUCCAAAAUUUGUCGAUCCUUAACAAACGACCCCUGAUGCGGAGAGACAGUGGUAACCAAAACCUCCUUCAAUCUUAAAACCAGUGUUUUCGCUAUAAUUUUAUACAAUCCAGUUACUAAACUUAUGGGCCUAUAGUCCGUCACCUUCAAAGAAUCUGACUUCUUCGGGAUUAGGCAAAUGAAAGUUUCGUUCGUCACUGCAUUUAUUAUCCCUUUCUCAAAGAACUCCUCCAUGAUCUUCAUUAUAUCCUCCUUCAAAAUAGCCCAGCAAUGUUGGAACAUUUGCAUAGAAAAGCCAUCCGGUCCUGGCGAUUUAUCCUUUCCACAAUCGAAAAUUGCUCUUUGAACUUCUGCUUCCUCAAAAGGCCAAUCGAGCCAACUUGCCUCAAGUGCGCUUAUUGGGGCCCAAUUUAUACCUUCUAAACCCCAACAUGCCUCGUCAUUACUGCUAAAUAAGGAUUUGAAAAAUUUGACAAUAUGCUCUUCAAUCUCUUUUGCAUCCUCUAUUAAUCCCCCUCCAAUCGACUCCAACCUUUCAAUAUAGUUUCUCUUCCUUCUCCCGUUUGCAACUCGAUGGAAGAAUUUUGUAUUACCAUCCCCUUCCUUUGCCCAUUCCACUUUGCUUCUCUACCUCCAUUUCACUUCUUCUUUAAAAGCCAAGUCUCCCAUAAGGGUUUGGAGUUCUUCCCUUUUACUUCUAGCUUCAAAAUCCAAGCCUUACAUCCCCUCUCUCCUAUCCAACUCCUCUAUGUUUGCUUCCGCUUCUUUCAAGACUUUUUCGAUUUCGCCGAAGCUCUCCUUACUCUAGCUUUGCACCUUUUUUUCAUGGCUUUUAACUUGAUCAUAAAUUUAUAACCCUCCCACCCCUCCACUUGCUCUGAUUGCCACCAUUCCUUGAACUUGUUCCUGAAUUCUGGAUCUUGGAGCCACAUGUUUUCAAAUCUGAAAGGACAUGGCCCCCAUUUCACUUCGUUGGUGUCUAGCUGGUUUGGACAAUGAUCGGAAAUGAUCCUAGCCAAGGCCAUUUGUCUAGCCUCAGGAAAGAUAUCUUCGCAACCUUUAGAACAUAAAAAUAUGUCUAAUCUCCGACACACAGGUUCUUCUCUGAGGUUUGACCAGGUAAAUUGUGCAUUGAGCAGAUCCAAGUCCUUGAGUUCUGUCUCUCGAAUGAAAUCAUUAAAAUUCCUCAUGCUUUUAGUCAGCCUCCCCCCAUUUGAUUUCUCAUUUAUAAAUCUAACCACGUUAAAAUCUCCUCCUACACCAUCUUGAUCCACACACACCGUAAAGUCCCGCCAAUUCUUCCCAAAAUUCCUUUCGCUCUCUAUUUUUACAUGGACCAUAGACUCCGGAUAGCCACCACUCCAUCCCAUUGGGAGCCUUAAUUUUUAUUGAUGCAGAGAAAACACCGACCAAAGAUUCGGUUACUGAAAUGUGUUUUGUAUUCCAGAUUACAGCUAUGCCCCCUGAGCUUCCUUGAGCAGGGGCAAAAAUCCACUCUUUAUAUCUAAUUCCCCACACGCUAGCCACAAGACUUCUGUCAAUCAAAGUUUUCUUAGUUUCUUGUAGUAUGAUGAUGUCGGGCUGUAUCCGUUGGAAUUGCUUUUUCAAUGUUAGCCUCUUCCGACUACUUCCCAAUCCUCUAACGUUCCAACUAAUUAUCUUCAUUAAAACUAAUAGCGCCCCUGUGAAGUUUGCUUUCUCCCUUAAAACCACCUUCUCUCUUGCCUCUUCUGACUUUCCCAUUCUUCGUUUCUUGGAAUAGAGACUUUUUCAAUGGGAACAAGGAAACCUUCAUUUUAGACAAAAAUUUGGAAUUUAGAUGUUGUGCCUCACGAUUGGCUGAUACGCCUACCAAUUUUUUCCUUCUACUGUACUUUAAUAUUUUCUUGUGUUUUCCUAUUUCCUCAGUAAUGGACUUCUCUUCUUGAUUAGAUGCCUCAUCCAACGUUGUCAAUGCUUCCAAGUUUGAAUCAGUGAAUAGGUUGUGGAGGUCCUCACAAGACAAUUCAAAAUCAUCAGAUAUUUCUUUUUCCUCUUGAGAGUAAGCAUCCACCUCCCCAUCAGCAACAGAAGAUUGAGCGGAGAAAUCUUCGUCGUCAUUGUCUAACAAUUGAGCCAAAUCCAUGCCUAGAGCCUCCAUCCUUCUCCACCAUUGAUCUGCUGAAAUCUUCUCACUCGACCCGCCCGGUGAUCGGACAAGGUCAUCAUCGGCCUCGCAGUCCAAGUUUUCCUCUAAUUCACUAACUGAAUCAGUGAAUGUGAGGUUAGAAGACAAGGCUUCCGUCGGAUUAGUCCAUUCCAGAUGAUUCUGAUAAGAGCCAAAAUCAUGUGGUAGAAGUAGCUUUAGCCGCAUUCCGCCCCUGUCAGGUUGUCCAAAUCUCCUAAAGAAACUCGAACUUAUGCUCAAGGAAGGUCUGAUUGGAACGCCUGCUACAUAAAACUCUGUGGCCCAGAGUUGCUGGAGAUCGCCCAAAGCCAUAUACUGUGGCGCGGUGUGCCUUAGAGUCGGCAGCCUGAGAUUCUCCAACGGAUUCGAAAACAUUCGAGACUUGUACAGAAAUUCUGUUUCGGAUUGAAGAUGAGAUCUCAACCCUUGAGUAGUUAAGGUGAGUGGGCCACGACCUGACCCAUCCCAGUGUAGGUCAAAGCCCACCGAUUUACCAUUUAUAAUUGUAAAUAAAUGUUUAGCAGCCAUAGGCCCGCUCACCGUAAUGUUAUCUCCAAUAUUUGGGCUUUGUGGAUCAAGGCUCGCCACUCCAUCAAGUUUAAUUGGAAUAAAGUUGUUUUUAUUGGGCCCACUCUUGUCAAAAGCAUAUACAAUAUUUCUAGUACAAAUCUCCACUGUUGUUCCAUUAAAAUACUCCCUGCUUGAUGAAGUCUGUGCCCCCUCUGUACUAGAGCAACCGCCAUCUUCUUUCCCGUCUAAUUCCAACCUUUUGCUUUUACCCGAAGAAAGCAUGUUACUGGAGCUUCCUUUCCAUUUCGAAAUCAUUAAAAAAUCCUUUACCGCAGUUGCGUCUGCAUUUCCAGCUUCUACUGAGUGACUCGCCGUCGCUGUCAAGUCCUGUACUUGAGAUGGCGUCCCAAGCUCUCUUCUAAAGAAAGUAAGGUCAGAGCAAGUCCACCGGAGUGGACUUUGCCCAGGACCCAGCACAAAAACAAGGCCAGCACCCUGUCAACCAAGUCCACCCCCUCAACUUGACUGGUACCCAGCCCGAGCUGGGCUCUGAACCAGCCCAAAAGAGACUGAGCAAGAAGCCGGGUAGUUGGCCUGGCGCGUGCGCUUCACGGAGGCGUGGCGCGAGUGCCCGACAGGGUUUCAGAGCGCGGGCCUGCGUGACAGGCGCACUCAGUCCCCCCCCCCCCCGAGUUGGCGACGUGGCUACCUUUCUGUCGUUGGAUUUCCAACGGUAAAAAAAAAUUUAAAUUUUACUUUUAAAAUAGACCGUCGAAUCAAAGAUCAACGGUCUACGUUUUAAUUUCUUAUGUAAUUUCUUUUUUUAGGUUUGAACUUUAUUUAAUUUCUUGUGUAAUUUUUAUGUUAUUUCUUAUUUAUUUUUAAAACUUUAAUUAUUUUUAUUUAAUUUAUUAUGCAAUUUUAAUGUAAUUAUUUAUUUAUUUAUUUAUUUUUAAAAUUUUAUUUCUUUUGUACUUUAUUUAAACACAUGAAAUAAGAUUACAUAAACUCACCAAAUAAAUUUAAAAACAAAACACACUACAUAGAAUUACAUAAACUCACCAAAUAAAUAGAAUUACAUAAACUCACCAAAUAAACUUAAAAACAAAACACACUACAUAGAAUUACAUAAACUCACCAAAUAAAUAGAAUUACAUAAACUCACCAAAUAAACUUAAAAACAAAACACACUACAUAGAAUUACAUAAACUUUAAAAAAAAUACAAUUUAUUCUUCAACCACAAGCCUCAUUCUAAUUAUCUUCGCCUUCAUGCAAUCUCCACUGGUGCUCAAUCAAGUCAUUCUGGCGGGUUACGUGCCAGUAUGGCUCUUGCACAUUAGUGUACCGCUGAAUGAUCAAUUCAUUGUAACGUCCAUUGCGUUCCAACGGCUCGUGUUGCACUGGCGACGGCAUCAUAAUCAUACUCAUCUUCAACAAUCAUGUUGUGGAGAAUAAUACACGUCAUCAUGAUGGAUCGAAGAGCCUCGACAUCAAACAUUCUAGUUGCAGCCCUAAUAAUCGCCCAACGAGCUUGCAGGAUACCAAAAUAACGUUCGACAUCCUUCCUACACCCUUCUUGACAUUUUGCAAAGUGUUUUUCCUUUUCAGUCUGUGGAUGUGGCACUGUUUUGACAAAUGUUGACCACCUUGGGUAAAUGCCAUCUGCAAGGUAGUAUGAUCCCUCGUAUUGGGUACCAUUAACCCAAUAUGUGCAUCUUGGCGAGUUUCCUUGCAGCAGUUCGUCGAACACUAGGGAUUGGGCAAGGACAUUUAGGUCAUUUUGAGCUCCUGGAACACCAAAAAAAGCAUGCCAAAUCCAUGUAUCAAAUGAAGCCACCGCUUCCAAAAUGAUGCUUUUGGCUCCUUUUCUGUCGUCAUAUGCUCAUUGCCACGCACUUGGACAGUUUUUCCAAGUCCAAUGCAUGCAGUCGAUGCUUCCAAUCAUGCCAGGGAAGCCUCGCAUCUCACUUUUCCUCAGAAGCCUUCGCAUGUCCCUUGGCGUGGGUGUCCGGAGGUACUCAUUGGUGUAGAUGGCUUCAAUUGAAGGAAAUUUUGUGAAAAACAUGUUCAUUUGAGCAACAUCUAUAGCAUGCAAUUAACAAUUAAAAGGCGGAAUCAUGCUUGUAUGCACUCAAAAGCAAAACAUUACCCAUGAAAUUCAAAGCCUAGUAGAUUGGUGAACCUUGACUCAACUUAAAACAACAUUUGUAAGUUGAGAAAUUAUACCUUUGUAGAUUCCUCUUUGCAUAAGCAAAGGCUAAUCACCCAAAGAGAGGGCCUUCAUUCCUUGCAUCUUAGAUCUAUGGAUUUGGAUGGAUGAAAUGGUUCUCCAAGUUCCCAAAAUUGAGAACCUCUAAGUCUCUUCACCAAGGUUAGAUUGGAGAAGAAAUGAGUGACCUUGGAGUAGUAGGAUUGCUAGCUAAACCCUCCAAGGAGGCCGGCCACUUUAGAGAGAAAGAAGAGCUUAUGUUCUCAUCAUUUCCCCAAAAGAAAACCCUAAAUGAAUUUUGGCUAUAAAGUCAUAUUUAUACCUUUAUUCAUUGGAGUGGCAAACUUGUAAUUAAGUCCAAAACCCACUCCUUUAACAAAAUGGCCGGCCAUAGGGUUUCAUUGGGUUUUUAAGGCCUUUGUGAAUUAUUUGUCAUUAAGUUGUCAUACAACUUAAGUCAAUGGGCUUGACAUUCGAAGCCCAUUGGGCCUUGAGGCCCAAAACUAACCCGUGAUCUUUUAACGAACUUUAUUCGUUUGAUUAAUUAACAUAUUAAUUAAUCCUUGCCAUAAAUAAUUAAACCAUUUAAUUAUUCUUACUCAUCUCAGUUGUUUCUUCAAUCUCUACCUUACACGGUGUACGAUCCAUUAGGUUCCUUUUAGCGAGGCAGUGGGCGAUUAAAACUCUUUCAAAUCGAUUGUGAAUUGAAACUUACUUUCAAUUCUCCCUUUAGUGUUUAUACACGUUUAGGGCUUCCACAAACCAUGAGUGAUACCUAGCAGCAUAUCAUGGUUACCCAAGCUAAUCAGAAGAGGUGGAGAACCUAUUCAGUUUAGGAUUACAAUGCAAUACGGUCUUUCUCUAGUACAAUACUUUUGACCACAUUGUUUGGUUUGAUAGUUUAUUCAUGUCUAAUAUCCAAUGUGAUUCGUGUGCUUAUAUGAUUACCUUGAAUGUGAUUUGGAACGACUUCCUAAAUCUCAUUCAUACUCUGGCCAGAGAUUCUUAAUCAUAUCAUAGAGUAUUCUCCCCCAAACGGUUUGAAGGUUAGAGAUCCCUUGUUGCGCAUUCACUUGCCUCCAUGACUAAGUGGCUUAACCCGACGAUGUCGUGGACACCCGCGGAUGGGGUGACUUUGACAUAAUCAAAGAUCAAGUACCUAACCACAAGACAACUAUGAUGCCUCAGGUCAAAUGACUACUUUGCAUUAUCCCAACCAUGAGUUCUCAUGUGACAUGAGUAUGAGAACUCUUCGUUGAUCGUGUUCAGUGAACUCAUUCGCUAUUGAGCACCUACAUGCUUGUCUUGGUGUCAAUCACACCAAUGACUCGAGACUAGUCACUCUCCCUAAGAGAAGACAUAGCAUGUACUGAUCUUAACGGAUUGUCAAUGCCCAAUUGGCAAUCCUAUGAUCAGGAACGUUUAGGAUAUGUAUACGAAAGAAUGGUCUCAUGAAUCUAACUUCUUUAGAUCGCAUUCUCCCAAUCACAUAUUCCUUGGACUUAUCGUUUAAGCGUAUAACAUUUAUUUGAGACGGCUUAAACAAUAAUCUUUGCCCUUGAUAUUAAACUAGAUUAGUUUAACAUGUGAAAUGUCCGUAAAGUAUCAUCAUAUGAUUGGUUUUAGGGCACAUUUCCAACAUCAAUUGCAGAGCAAAACCGCAUCAGGGACUCCAGCACAGUUGUUUUUCCCAUCCUCGCGAUCUCAUCCACUUGAUCUGCAGAUGCUCCAUAUGCAAGCAUUCGCAAGGAUGCCGUAAUUUUUUGCUCAGGAAUAAGACCUAGAACAUGAAAAGCAUCCUCUUUUUGCACAAAGUAUGAAUCAUAGUUGCAAAUAUCACUCAUGAUUUUGUUGAACAAAUUUCGUUGCAUUCUAAAACGCCGUCUAAAAAUAUGAUCAGGGAAUAUGCUAUUGGGAAUAAAAUAAUCUUCCAAUAGAUUUUUACCUCGUUUUUCCCUUUUUCUAUCGAGGUUUGCAACAUGUCUUGGUUUGGCUAUCUGACCCACGGCUUCCAUGACACGGCGGGAGUGUGAGGCCUUCUGCCUUCUAUGGUGAUCAUCCUCAUCCUCCUCCAUGAAGAAAGCCUCAUCUCCACCUCCACCUUCCUUGAGAUUGGCCAAUUCUGCCUGUUGUGCCAACAACCUUUGUUGUUGCUCCUGCAACUGUUUAUACACCCUUCUUGAAGAAGACAUUGUAAUAAGAACUCAAGAUUUGAAAACAAUGAACAAUGAUUCUGAGCUAAAAGAAGGAUUGAGCUUGGUGUGAGGAUGGAUGUAGGGAUGUAGGGUUUAUAUGGACAAAAAAAGAAAGGAUGAGGUUCUGGACAAUGCCACGUGGCACUACGUGAUUGGUUGAAAAUCUUAUCGAAAUCUUGGCUAAAUUAUUGUAAACCGGAAGUGACACGUGGCUUGUCGAGAUUGGUCGAAAAUAUUAUCGGAAAUCUAUCCACAAAAUAGUACGUUCGGAUAAUGACACGUGGCAUGACGUGAUUGCUUGAAAAUCUUAUCAAAAUCUUGGCUAAAUUAUUGUAAAACGGAAGUGACACGUGGCAUGUCGGGAUUGGUUGAAAAUUUUAGCGGAAAUCUAUUCACAAAAUAGUACGUUCAGAUAAUGACACGUGGCGUAACGAGAUUGGUUAAAAAUCCUAUCCGAAAUUAAAACUAUUUUAUUUUUUUAUUCUUUUAGAAAAAAGUUUAAAAUAUUUUAAAUGGGCUGGGUGCCAGCGCAUUUUGUAGGGAUGGAGAUCGUUUGUGCCAGCGCAUUUUUUUAGAGGUGGAGAUGUCUUGGCCUAUUAUUGUUCAUUGGAGUCUAUUAUUGUUCACUUGAGUAGAUAAAUGCGUUGGGUGCUGGCGCAAAGUCCUUAGGGUGGACUUGCUCUCAGAGAGUGGGUUUGUAGGCUCCUCGUAACUCGCGCCCACUGUCACAGAACUGUCGUGAUCAAGUUUUCUGUCAUAUCCGAUAGUGACUGGACAGUCGAAGACGCCGAUUCGGAAGCUGGCACAAGUCCCCGUCGCGUGGGCUGCCUUUCCGAGCUCAGCCGUCGCCGGAUGAUGUAUUCCAGAAAUCCUUUGUAAUUGCUGAUCCUUUUUCAGAGACCCAACUAAAGAUUCCGGUCUACCCCGAUCUUCAGCCGAAGGCAUGGGUCUCUUCGCUGGCGAUAAUUGCCGGAUCCUGACCCUGAAGACUAGGUCUCCGUCAGCCACUUCUACUACUUCAGGGAUGAAACCAGUGAUGUUGGUUUUUAGUUUUAUCUUUGCUUCAAGCAGAUAACCGAAACAAGCGGUUGUUUGGUCAAUAUCCGCCAGACCUCCGCAAGCCUCGCCUAUAUCGUGGAAGUAUUUUUUGGUCCAAAGAUGUGGUGGUAAACCUUCCAAUGCAACCCAACCUCCAUAACUGACCGCCAGUAUUUGAUUUGAAUUCAAACUCUUCCACCACCCCGCCAGUUUCACCUCGGGAUACUCCUUCAUAACUAUUGCUCCAAGUAGUGCAAUUAUUUUUGCUUCCUCCUUGUUCUGGCAAACAAACAGUGCUUUGUUGCAUUGAAAUGGCGAGAGUCUGAUGUCCGUUCCCAGAAGAUUUCCAAGUGAGGCCUCCACCUCCCUCCAGGAUUGAUGCACCACCUUUCUCUCACAGACUACAACACUUCCACCACCUUUCUCUCACAGACUACAACACUUCCCCAACUGUAAGAUUCUUUAGAGCAGUCCUCUGAUUCCAAGUGAAAUCUUUCCAAAAUUCCUCUCUAGCACUUCGUGUGGAUUCCUCAGUUGUUGAUCGGAUCAUAUUUAUAUAUAUUUUUACUUCAAAUUCACUCGUCUUUUCUUAGUUAGUUCCUUAUAUUUUUGAGCUAUUUACGUUAUUUUUGUGUUUAUAGGAUUUGUUAUGCAAAGAAAAUAAAAAUGGCACAAAUGAGUUUUAAAUAAUAAAUUCGUCAAAAAUUGCUUUAGUCGUUCUCAUUCUGUCAUGGGUUAUUGGUAGAAUUAUGUCACAGAUUAUAGGGCAUGGAAGUUAGGCUAAAUUUAUUAGGUAUGCAUUAGAAAUUAUAUGAUAUAUCUAAAAUUGAAGUGUUUUGCAGUUGGUGAGUAAAGAAAAAAAAAGAAUAAACAAAGUUGUUGGAGGGCUGCACAUUAAGGCACAGAAGGAAUAAAAAACUGCACUUGCAGCGUGAGUGUGGUGGGUGAGGCAUUAGCCUCGGGGGUGAGUGCGGAAAAGAAAGAAAAAUAAUAGGGGAAGGAGGGCAGCUACGUGGGCAGCGAAUAAAGGGAGAGAGGUGAGAAAUCAGCGCCAUAAAAGAAGACAGAGGGGAUAGAGAAAGGAAGAGACGGAAAGAGUUGCCUUUGGGCAGCGUAAGCUGGAGAUAGAGCGAAAAACAGAAAGCUGCUUUGCUGCUCGGGAAGAGGAGGAAACCGAGAGAUAGGGAAGAGCAGCACUUGCUGCUGUGCAGCGUGGAGGAAAAAGGGGACAGAAACUGCACCUUUGCAGCGCAGUUAGAAGAAUAAAACAGAAACUGCACCUUUGCAGCCUUGGCAGCGUGUGAAACAGAGGAAGAAGGCUGCUUGGGGCAGCUGAGAAAAGAAGGAAAAAAAAAUAAAAGAAAGGGGCUUCUUGUGCAGCUUUGAAACCGAGAAAAGGUUGCCCUUGCAACCUCGGCACAGAAAAAGAAGCGAGAGCACGGACAGAAACAGAAGCAGCAAGCUUCUCCUCUUUCGGUUAAAACUUUCCAACUUAUAUUGUACUUUUGGUUAAAUGUUUUAAUAAUGUGUAACUAAUUUUAUUUUGGCUAGAGGUUAAUUCAAAGCCAUGAUUAUAUUUGUAAUAUGAAUUGAUUACAUCCAGUUGUGAUUCAUAAGUUGUGAAUUCAAUUUACUUAUCCGUUCGUAUAAAAACUGAUUUGUGUAUGUUGGUUGAGAGUGCACGCUUAAUUUUCAUGCAUGAAUUUGACGCUAGAAUAUAAGGGAGUUUCACCUAAUCGUUAUGAACUUAUAUUCAUAAGUAGUGAAGGUUGCUAGUCACAAUCACGUUAAGUAAAUUCUUGGCAUAAGUUUCAUGCAAAUCAUAGUAACGAGUGUCUCGUCAAUGCUUAUGUUUUUCAUAGAACUUAAUGAUUCUUGCUUGUAUCUCUAUUAUGCAACUCAUGUAGGGAACUUGUAGGGAAUGUUUUGGGUUGUCGUAUGCAAUCAUCCAACCCAAUAACUUGUGGAAAAACUGAGGGUUAAUUAGUGCAAUUCACGGUUAAUUUGGGGCGUUGAGUAUUCAUAGCUUAUCGAAAAGCAACUGGAAAUCAUUUUGUAUGCAAGUAUAACAUGUGUGGAGAAGAACCCUCUAGCUAGUCCGUCACCUAUCAUUUCACCUUAAUUUCAUGUUUUUGUCAAUUCUGUAAUUUAUUUAAGUUUAAUUUACUUCUCGUCAAAACCAAACCAAACCCCCCAUUAUUAAAUUAUAUUAUUUAGUUAGUUUUCAUUGUUGUUAGUCUUUUAAUUCAAUUUCCGUCCAUUUCAGUUCCUAGUGUCUAAAUUGAUUGUUUCCAUUAUUUUGAGUCAUUCUAAGUGUGUUUCGAGUUAUUAGAGUUUUUAGCCUAGUUUUGUGUCCUUGAGUCUUAUUUAAUAUUUUUAAAUUAAUUUAGAAUAGAUUAGCAAUCCCUCCUAAUCCCCGGCCUAGAACGAUACCCUACUUACAUCUAUACUACAAUUGUCAAAAAGAGGGUUUAAUUUGUGUGCGUAUUUAAAUCGCAUCAGUUGUCGUCGGCUUGCCUCCAAUGACUGCAUCCCUGUAUGAACCCUGAGUGCCGGCGCCCAAAAGAUUUCUCCUAGGCUCAGUUCCAACCCGAUUCACCUUCCUCAUUGUAACCCCCGUCUUCUUUCCCCCUCGCAGAAUCUUAGACAUCAGCUCCUCCAGAUUUCUCCAUCCGAUGCCUUGAAAACCUUUCGGAACGAAGAUAUUUCUGACAAAACCAUCCUUUUCAGUUUUGGAAAGAACAAGGACCUCCCCGUUUCUGUUCUGAAAUCCUUCAACCCAAAACUGAUAGUUGUGACCUUUGUAUUUUCUGAAGAAGUUCAGUCCGCCUGUGGCAAUAGCCGCCUUUAACUGAUCCACGCUGCACAACCCAAGUCAAAAGAUAUCUGAUAUCCUCUGGUUCUCGUUCUCUCUGUUACCCGAAUCCUCUCGCCAAAUGACUUCUCUUCAAUCUCUAAAAUGAAAACCUUGUGCUCAACUUUAAAAUCCCUUGACAAGUGUCUGUAGCUCAUCUUGCUGAUCCACUAUGAGGCCAGAUCUUUGCAUCCUCUUCAGAGGGUUUGAGGAUUAAAUCAAUGAAAAAUAGUCCAUAUAAUUUGAUAAUCAGCUUUCCUUAGAAUCUGUGAAACUUUGACCAAUAUAGUGACCCUUUUCUAUUGAUAUCUUAAAUUAUUCAUGUGCUCAUGCAAAUACUUAAAGUAGUUGAACGGUUUUCAAUUUGCUUCAUGGUAGGUUAUAUUUGUUGUUGAUGCAAGUGGAAGCAUGGCCUUGAAUAGAAUGCAGAAUGCAAAAGGUGCGGCACGCAAGUUACUAGCAGAAAGUUAUACAAGCAGGGAUCAGGUGACAAAAAAUUUCAUACUAGAUUUAAAGGAUGUGACUACCACUCGUUUAGUCUCAAGAAGAUUUCUUCUGUCAUUUUCUUGGCAAGAAAAUGAGAAAAAACAAAGUAGAAGAGAAGCAGUAUGCACCAAGUAAAUGGUGAAACGUAAUUGUGUUGAAUUAAAUGUUUUAUUCAUUGACCCGGAAAAAAAUAAAUUCAACUUAAUAGGUGUGAAUGCCAUGCUCUAGAAAAUGAUGAUAUGCUUUGAAGGACAUCAGUAAUCAAAUAACGGCAAGUUCGAAGCCAUUCUUUGAACAAAUUCUUACUUUUCAAAUUUUGAAGAAGCUUUCCCUAUUUUAAGUGUCAAAGGAGAGUGUUUUUUCAGUAUGGAAUCAUCAGAUCCAAAGUGCAGAACGUUCAUAGGGCUGGUUAUGAACUAGGUAUAUAUUCGAUUGGCUUGCAUUAUGGAAGAGCUUAACAAUGGUGGUAAAGAAACAUAACUCAACAAGAAAGCAGAAUUGAGAAGGGAAAAGUUAUGAUUGUUAAAAGAGUUGUUCGUAUAAGAGCUUGUAUUUAUUUAGCAUGGCAUAUGCACGUCAUGGAAAGUAAUACAUUGAACAGUUAUUUUUCACAUGAAACUGAGCUGUUCCCUUAGCCUGCAUGAACAUAUUCAUCAAAAUAAAUGAUAGACAUGAUACUCCGUAUGAUAUAGUGCCCAACCGUAUUCUGGGGAUUGCACUUCAGAAAGGACAUACUGAUUUCCAUUUUUACUUUAGACAUGUCAUGGAUCCUUCCCCAAAUUUCUAUAAGAAUUUAAUUAAGGGGAUUAAUGUGUGCUUCUGAUCAGCAAACCAUGGAAGAAGGUUCUGGUGAUUAUUCUUGUAACAGUUUGACUGGUAAUGCCGUUUAGGUUUCUAUCAUUCCUUUCCAGGGAGAUUCAGCAGAAGUUCUUCUGCCUCCUUCUAGAUCAAUUUCAAUGGCACGAAACCGUCUUGAGAGACUUCCAUGCGGCGGAGGUUCUCCCCUUGCUCAUGGUCUGACCAGGGUAUGUUAGCUUCCCUCUUGAGUACUGGCAUCUCCACCCCCACGUAACUGACUGUAUUCUGAAAUUUAUACUGCUUAGGCUGUUAGGGUUGGAAUAAAUGCAGAGAUGAGUGGUGAUGUUGGACGUAUAAUGAUUGUUGCAAUAACGGAUGGUAGAGCCAAUAUCUCUCUAAAGAGAUCCACUGACCCUGAAGCUGCUGCUGCUACUGACGUUCCAAAACCUUCGUCACAGGAGUUGAAGGUAAAUCUUGAGUGCUGUUGUUGGCAUAUUAGUUGUAGCCUGGACCUCACAGCACAUGGCAUUAUAAUGGGCACCUGAUCUGAGAUUGCAUAAGACUUGGUUCCGAAAAAUACGUUAGUAUCUAAAGUUUUUAUACAAGACCCACAUGUUUUUCAGACACUCAAGAAAUAAGGAGUAUGUAGUUGCACAUGUUACCCCUCAGCUUUUUUCUUUUGCUUUUGCAUUAACUUGUGGUAUUUCUUACUGGUGCUUCUCAAUGAAGGAUGAGAUUCUCGAGGUUGCUGGUAAAAUCUACAAAGCAGGGAUGUGUCUCCUCGUCAUUGACACCGAAAAUAAGUUUGUUUCAACUGGUUUUGCUUAGGAGAUUGCCAGAGUUGCUCAAGGUUCGUUGUCCAACUUGUAUCAUAUAUCGCCUAUUCUUCUUCAUCUGUGAAGACUAUCAUAAUCUCAUUGUAAUAUUUUCUAACAUUUGCCCUGCAGGAAAAUAUUACUACUUGCCGAAUGCCUCAGAUGCUGUAAUCUCAGCUGCAACGAAGGACGCUUUAUCGGCACUGAAAAGCACAUGAAGCAUUAGAAAUUGUUGUUUAUAUUGUUCUAUUCGGCUAAUUUGACUGAGAACAGCUUAGUUUCCUGUAAAAGUAAAUUUCUUGAGUAUGGUGUCAUUCGUUCUUUGAUAUGCAGCAAAGGAUGAAAAAAUCACUAGAAAAACGAAUUAAAUUCACUUCAAUUAGAGCAACUUUUAUAGCAUGUAGCUGCUGUCAAUGUAGCAUCCCAUGCCAACCGUACAACGAAUGCAGAGAAAAACUUACACGUGUCGUAUGAUUGGCAGGGAAUGCCACAAUGGCGGUGUACUCAUGUCAUGAAAGUCUUACAUCAGACACAGUAAAAUCUCUAUAUAGUCACAAUCAAUUUUAUUAUUCUAAGGAGGUUAUUACCUAAAUAUUAUUUUUGACUUUGUUAUGCUUAAUGAAAGUUAAAUGGAUACAAAGAACUACAUCAGUAGUGGAUCAUGUCAAUUUUCAAGAUUAUAACAUUGGAAAAAAGAGAGACAACUAAUCUCUAAACAAACCAAAAGUUUCAUGUCAAGAAGUUGAAAACAUGCAUAAGAAGCUUGAAACAAUUUGGUUUUAACUUGAAGGUGCCCAUGUUGAUGAGGUAUGACGUACCUGCAAGCUCAAUCAACUUUUAAAAAAUAAAGUAUUGUCCCAAACAACUCUAGAGAAAUAUUCUUAACCUCCAACACAGUACACAACACUUUAUCCCUGUAAGCUGUAAAUACGAAUGCUGAUUGGGCGGGAUAUCAAGUUGAUCGCAAAUCACCACUGGAGAUUGUGUUUGGUUGAAACUUAGUGACCUAGAAAGGAAAAAACAAAAUGUUGUGGCAAUCAAGAUGCUAUGUACGUUGCAGCUAAUUCAAUAUUUCACGAGAGAAUAAAGCACAUUGAAGUGGAUUGUCAUUUUGUUAUAAAACAAUAUAUUCCAAUAUCAUUAGAAUGUAAUCCGUUUGAAGAAGUACGUAGUUGACGAGCAUAUUAAUCAAAGGCAUCUCUUUCAAAAUUAUGUCCAAACUUGACUAGCACAACAUCUUUGCUUUAGCUUGAGGGGGAAUGUCGUAAUUGUAAGAUCUCACAUCGUCCAGGGGUGAGGAUCCUGUAAGCCUUAUAUGUAUAUUCUCAUUUCUACCUAGCACGAAGUCUUUUGGGAGCUCACUGGCUUCGGGUUCCAUCGGAACUCUAAAGUUAAGCGAGUUCGCGAGAGAGCAAUCUCAUGAUGGAUGACCCACUGGGAAGUUCUCGUCUGAGUUCCCAGAAACAAAACCGUGAGGGUGUGGUCGGGGCCAAAAGCGGACAAUAUCGUACUACGGCGGAGUCGAGCCGGGAUGUGAUGAGGGCCCGAGUCGGGAUGUGACAGUAAUAGCAAUUUAAAUUUGUGUAAUGCUAGAGAGAUCAAAUUUUAAACUAAAUUUUGUAAACCAACGAUGUAGUUGUUAGUGAUUGGUUUAUUGCUCAAGUGUUAAUUAAUGUGCUUAUUUCUUAUUGGUGACGCAUCAUUUAGUUUGCAAAUUUGAUUAACGUACUUAUUUAUUUCCACGAAGAGAAAGUGAGCAUUUUUUUCUCACCGCCAUAAGCUAUGGUGUAUACUUACCAUACACUUAAUCAUUUGCUACGUGUCCUUUCACUUAACCUUAGUUAAUUUUGUUCAAAAUUCAAAAUGUAACAUUUAAUGUGAAAGUUAACUAAAGUUAGGUGAAAAGAUAUGUGGCAGAUGGUGUAACAUUUAAUGUGAAAGUUAACAUUUAAUGUGCUACCUCACUUCUAUAAAUUAAUAUGGAAACGUGGGAUGUUGUAUAUAUCUUGCUAGCCGAGUAGCUGGCGUUUAUCGACUUGCGAGACAAUUUAAAAAAGGAAAUUUUAGUUGGACCCAUAUAACUUCUUUUUACAUCCAACUUACUCUCGAAACCCAUAUUACUUUUAACUAAUCUAUCAAUAUCUUUUUAAACCCAAAUUUAUGAUCUAAACAAUCCUCAUAAACCCAAUUCAAUAUGUAAAUUUAUCUUUAGACCCAUUUAGAAAAUACAAAUCCAAAAUCAAGAAGUGUAUAAUACUUGAAAUCAAGCAUUAAGAAAUGUACCAAAGCAUGUUGCAAAGAAGGUCGAUACCAAAGCAGCAAGGUACAGCAAAGAGGUGGACAAUUGUAGGCCUUGAUUGUUAAAUCAUAGACUGAUGCCAAGGAAAUUAAAAUUUCAUAGCAUAGUCUCCAUCUCCAUGUUCUUUAUUUCUUUUUAUGUUUUAAACUACAAAAAAAUUAUUGUAGUCAUGAUCACAUUCUGAUGAGAAAAAUAGAGUAUUGACUUAAUAAUUUAAUUUAAUUGGAGUUUUGGUUUUUAAUUUAAAAAUUGGUGAGUCAUAGUUUCGAAUUUGUUAUAGUGUAGAUUAAUAAUAUUUUUGGAUAAUUCAGUUAAAACUUUUGUCUCUUAUUUUUUUGGGAUAAUUUGGAUAUGGUCCCUAAUCCUUAACAUUCUUUGAUUAAAACCUUAAUAGUAUUCAAACUUUGAUCAAAGUCCCUUGACUUUGUACACCUCAUUAUACUACUAUUAAUAUUUAUAUUUUUAUAGUUUUGACAUUAAUUGUUUGAUAUUUUAUGAGAUUUAUAAUCCUAUAAAUUUAAAAUCCGUCGUUAAUACUAUUAGAAACGGUUACCAAAAAAAAAAUUCAAACAUUUUGAU